UGGUUGGAUAUAGAACUCUCAAGUUGAUUUUAAUCUACUUACUCUUGCCAGUAGAUUGGGAACCCAAAACGGCAACAACAUGAUAGUUGAAACCAGCAUCUAACAGUCCUACGCUUUGCAUAAACUUUGGUAAUUCAUUGUUGAAUUGUUUAUGUUCAUCCACAAUUUGUGUGGAAACCCUAUUGGAAGCAGUACUCAUGUUUUGGUGUAAGCGGAAGACAAGUUAACAAACAUAUAAGGUAGUGUGAUGU